rnacentral:rRNA from 1 species
UACGGGGGGGGCAAGCGUUGUUCGGAAUUACUGGGCGUAAAGGGUUCGUAGGUGGCCUGCUAAGUCGGACGUGAAAUCCCUCGGCUCAACCGGGGAACUGCGUCCGAUACUGGUGGGCUCGAGUGCAGGAGAGGAACGCGGAAUUCCAGGUGUAGCGGUGAAAUGCGUAGAUAUCUGGAGGAACACCAGUGGCGAAAGCGACUUUCUGGUCCUUAACUGACGCUGAGGCGCGAAAGCAUGGGGAGCGAACGGG